CGCAGCCGGCUCUCUCUGCGCCUCGCUCCGACUCCGGCGCGCACCAAGCGGGAACCCGCGCCCGAGCCCGGCGGGCGCCGCUGCUGCUCCUCUCGGUCCCCGGUUCCCGGUCCCCGAACGCGCCGCGGCGAGGCUGCGCCCGGCAGUGGAGCCGCUCGGAGCUGCUGGGCUUUGGCGGCCGCUCGCUGCUCCGUCUGGCCGGAGGACCGGCGGGGAAGGAAGGGGAAAGCGGGGACACACACACUCGCCGCGGCGCGCGCGCACUGCACACUCGUAGCCGCGCGCCCCCGCCAAGGCGCG
rnacentral:lncRNA from 10 species